GAUGAACGCUAGCGGCAGGCCUAACACAUGCAAGUCGAGGGGUAACUAGAGUGAUAGCAAUAUUACUUUGGCUAGACCGGCGCACGGGUGCGUAGCACGUAUGCAACCUACCUUAUACUGGGGAAUAACUUCGAGAAAUCGGCGCUAAUACCCCAUAACAUUGCGAAGAGGCAUCUCUUUGCAAUUAAAGCUCCGGCGGUAUAAGAUGGGCAUGCGUCCAAUUAGCUAGUUGGUGAGGUAACGGCUCACCAAGGCUACGAUUGGUAGGAGUUCUGAGAGGAUGAUCCCCCACACUGGUACUGAGACACGGACCAGACUCCUACGGGAGGCAGCAGUGAGGAAUAUUGCGCAAUGGACGAAAGUCUGACGCAGCCAUGCCGCGUGCAGGAUGACGGCCCUAUGGGUUGUAAACUGCUUUUGUACGGGAAUAAACCCUUCUACGUGUAGGAGGCUGAAGGUACCGUAAGAAUAAGCACCGGCUAACUCCGUGCCAGCCGCCGCGGUAAAAC
rnacentral:rRNA from 1 species